CUGCUGCAUGGGCAACCCCAACCUCUUCCAAGGCUUAGGAAGGCCCAGCUGAUGUCAAUAAUUCUAACAAUGGCUUUAGUACUGCCCCACUCUGAGCCUGCUUGCUGGAACCUUAUAGAGGAAGCAAUGCCCAGGUCUCUGGGUUCCUGCUCCCAAAGGGAUUCUUGGACUGUGCCGUGGAACUGUUGUUGGGGAAAGAACCUGAGAACCAGGUUAUGUUGCUGACUCAUCUCCACUGGACUUAUCUGCCAUGCCAUAGAAAUCUCUUCAUCCCAGAAGUUCACUCUAUCCCUGGGCUUUUCACAUUGGAAGUAUCCUCUGCCCUUGCAACCUUGUCUUCUGAUAUGGUGGUAUCUCCCAGAACUUCACUCUAAGGAGACUACCCAUAGUUUCACUCCUCUCCCAGUGGCACUGUUGACUCAUCUGCAAAGGACUUCACCUACAAUAUGCUCAGAACCCUUCUGCUGCCUUUUAUAUGUUGACUUCCAUUAGAAUGUAAUCUGCUUGAGGGCAGGGGCUAUCUUUCUCUUCAUAUCAAAUUCUCAAGGCAUAGCAUGGUGUUUAAUAAAUAUUUGUUGACCUGACUUGAUUUACA
rnacentral:lncRNA from 1 species